GGGUUGUGAGGUUAAGCGACUAAGCGUACACGGUGGAUGCCCUGGCAGUCAGAGGCGAUGAAGGGCGUGCUAAUCUGCGAUAAGCGCCGGUAAGGUGAUAUGAACCGUUAUAACCGGCGAUACCCGAAUGGGGAAACCCAGUGUGAUUCGUCACACUAUCAUUAACUGAAUCCAUAGGUUAAUGAGGCGAACCGGGGGAACUGAAACAUCUAAGUACCCCGAGGAAAAGAAAUCAACCGAGAUUCCCCCAGUAGCGGCGAGCGAACGGGGAGGAGCCCAGAGCCUGAAUCAGCAUGUGUGUUAGUGGAAGCGUCUGGAAAGGCGCGCGAUACAGGGUGACAGCCCCGUACACAAAAGCGCAUGUGCUGUGAGCUCGAUGAGUAGGGCGGGACACGUGGUAUCCUGUCUGAAUAUGGGGGGACCAUCCUCCAAGGCUAAAUACUCCUGACUGACCGAUAGUGAACCAGUACCGUGAGGGAAAGGCGAAAAGAACCCCGGCGAGGGGAGUGAAAAAGAACCUGAAACCGUGUACGUACAAGCAGUGGGAGCCCCACCACUAAGCCAGUGGUGAACUCCACAUCCGCAUCCUUUGCUGAGGAUACGGUUAACGGAGCGAAAGCGACGUUCAACCGCAAAACAAGCAGAGGGGGCUUAGUGGUGGGGUGACUGCGUACCUUUUGUAUAAUGGGUCAGCGACUUAUAUUCUGUAGCAAGGUUAACCGAAUAGGGGAGCCGGAGGGAAACCGAGUCUUAAUUGGGCGUUAAGUUGCAGGGUAUAGACCCGAAACCCGGUGAUCUAGCCAUGGGCAGGUUGAAGGUUGGGUAACACUAACUGGAGGACCGAACCGACUAAUGUUGAAAAAUUAGCGGAUGACCUGUGGCUGGGGGUGAAAGGCCAAUCAAACCGGGAGAUAGCUGGUUCUCCCCGAAAGCUAUUUAGGUAGCGCCUCGUGAAUUCAUCUCCGGGGGUAGAGCACUGUUUCGGCUAGGGGGCCAUCCCGGCUUACCAACCCGAUGCAAACUGCGAAUACCGGAGAAUGUUAUCACGGGAGACACACGGCGGGUGCUAACGUCCGUCGUGAAGAGGGAAACAACCCAGACCGCCAGCUAAGGUCCCAAAGUCAUGGUUAAGUGGGAAACGAUGUGGGAAGGCCCAGACAGCCAGGAUGUUGGCUUAGAAGCAGCCA
rnacentral:rRNA from 1 species